UACAGAGGGUGCAAGCGUUAAUCGGAAUUACUGGGCGUAAAGCGCGCGUAGGUGGAUGAAUAUGUUGGCUGUGAAAGCCCCGGGCUUAACCUGGGAAGGCCAGCCAAAACUGUUCAUCUAGAGUAUGGUAGAGGAAAGUGGAAUUUCCGGUGUAGCGGUGAAAUGCGUAGAUAUCGGAAGGAACAUCAGUGGCGAAGGUGACUUUCGGGACCACUACUGACAUUGAGGCGCGAAAGCGUGGGGAGCAAACAGG
rnacentral:rRNA from 1 species